UACAGAGGUCUCAAGCGUUUGUUCGGAUUCAUUGGGCGUAAAGGGUGUGUAGGUGGCGCCGUAAGUCGGGUGUGAAAUUUCGGAGCUUAACUCCGAAACUGCAUUCGAUACUGCGGUGCUUGAGGACUGGAGAGGAGACUGGAAUUCGAUGGUGUAGCAGUGAAAUGCGUAGAGAUCAUGAGGAAGACCAGUGGCGAAGGCGGGUCUCUGGACAGUUCCAUGACACUG
rnacentral:rRNA from 1 species